GAAAGUGACGGUACCUGCAGAAGAAGCGCCGGCUAACUACGUGCCAGCAGCCGCGGUAAUACGUAGGGCGCAAGCGUUAUCCGGAAUUAUUGGGCGUAAAGAGCUCGUAGGCGGUUUGUCGCGUCUGCUGUGAAAGACCGGGGCUCAACUCCGGUUCUGCAGUGGGUACGGGCAGACUAGAGUGCAGUAGGGGAGACUGGAAUUCCUGGUGUAGCGGUGAAAUGCGCAGAUAUCAGGAGGAACACCGAUGGCGAAGGCAGGUCUCUGGGCUGUAACUGACGCUGAGGAGCGAAAGCAUGGGGAGCGAACAGGAUUAGAUACCCUGGUAGUCCAUGCCGUAAACGUUGGGCACUAGGUGUGGGGGACAUUCCACGUUUUCCGCGCCGUAGCUAACGCAUUAAGUGCCCCGCCUGGGGAGUACGGCCGCAAGGCUAAAACUCAAAGGAAUUGACGGGGGCCCGCACAAGCGGCGGAGCAUGCGGAUUAAUUCGAUGCAACGCGAAGAACCUUACCAAGGCUUGACAUGAACCGGAAAGACCUGGAAACAGGUGCCCCGCUUGCGGUCGGUUUACAGGUGGUGCAUGGUUGUCGUCAGCUCGUGUCGUGAGAUGUUGGGUUAAGUCCCGCAACGAGCGCAACCCUCGUUCUAUGUUGCCAGCGCGUUAUGGCGGGGACUCAUAGGAGACUGCCGGGGUCAACUCGGAGGAAGGUGGGGACGACGUCAAAUCAUCAUGCCCCUUAUGUCUUGGGCUUCACGCAUGCUACAAUGGCCGGUACAAAGGGUUGCGAUACUGUGAGGUGGAGCUAAUCCCAAAAAGCCGGUCUCAGUUCGGAUUGGGGUCUGCAACUCGACCCCAUGAAGUCGGAGUCGCUAGUAAUCGCAGAUCAGCAACGCUGCGGUGAAUACGUUCCCGGGCCUUGUACACACCGCCCGUCAAGUCACGAAAGUUGGUAACACCCGAAGCCGGUGGCCUAACCCUUGUGGGGGGAGCCGUCGAAG
rnacentral:rRNA from 1 species